rnacentral:pre_miRNA from 1 species
CCUUGUCACACAUCCGUCACAGUGACAUUAAACAUUGGACGGAAGUCUGAUGAGGGU